GAUGAACGCUGGCGGCGUGCCUAAUACAUGCAAGUCGAGCGAACGGACGAGAAGCUUGCUUCUCUGAUGUUAGCGGCGGACGGGUGACUAACACGUGGAUAACCUACCUAUAUGUCUGGGAUAACUUCGGGAAACCGGUGCUAAUACCGGAUAAUAUUUUGUACCGCAUGGUUCAAAAGUGAAAGACGGUCUUGCUGUCACUUAUAGAUGGAUCCGCGCUGCAUUAGCUAGUUGGUAAGGUAACGGCUUACCAAGGCAACGAUGCAUAGCCGACCUGAGAGGGUGAUCGGCCACACUGGAACUGAGACACGGUCCAGACUCCUACGGGAGGCAGCAGUAGGGAAUCUUCCGCAAUGGGCGAAAGCCUGACGGAGCAACGCCGCGUGAGUGAUGAAGGUCUUCGGAUCGUAAAACUCUGUUAUUAGGGAAGAACAUAUGUGUAAGUAACUGUGCACAUCUUGACGGUACCUAAUCAGAAAGCAACGGCUAACUACGUG
rnacentral:rRNA from 1 species